rnacentral:rRNA from 1 species
UACGUAGGGUGCGAGCGUUAAUCGGAAUUACUGGGCGUAAAGGGUGCGCAGGCGGCGUCGCAAGUCAGGCGUGAAAUCCCCGGGCUUAACCUGGGAAUGGCACUUGAAACUACGAUGCUGGAGUAUGGCAGAGGGAGGUGGAAUUCCACGUGUAGCGGUGAAAUGCGUAGAGAUGUGGAGGAACACCGAUGGCGAAGGCAGCCUCCUGGACCGACACUGACGCUGAGGCGCGAAAGCCAGGGGAGCAAACGGG